rnacentral:rRNA from 1 species
CCCUUAGAUUUUCUGGGCCGCACGCGCGCUACACUGAUGCAUUCAACGAGCCUAUCCUUGACCGACAGGUCCGGGUAAUCUUUGAAUCUGCAUCGUGACGGGGAUAGAUUAUUGCAAUUAUUAAUCUUCAACGAGGAAUGCCUAGUAGGCGCAAGUCAUCAGCUUGCGUCGAUUACGUCCCUGCCCUUUGUACACACCGCCCGUCGCUCCUACCGAUUGGGUGUGCUGGUGAAAUGUUCGGAUCGGCCGUUUGUCGCGGUUUCCGCGUCAUGUGGCUGAGAAGUUCAUUAAACCCUCCCACCUAGAGGAAGGAGAAGUCGUAACA